CGUGGCUUCCUGCACGUUUGUUUUGGUGUGCAGGCGUGAAUAGUCCUUUCUGUCCUGCUUUGAGUACUGCUGUUGGGUGCCGUGGGGGGACCUUAAGCGAGCUCGGAAGUUGAGACAUGGAUUAAACAGUUCUCCGUAUCCUGCUUUGAGCGCUACUGUUGGGUGCUGUGAGGGGACCUCAAGUAAGCUCCGUUUUUGAAACAUGGAUGCAGUGACUUAUGAUGAUGUGAGUGUGAACUUCACUGAGGAAGAGUGGGAUUUGCUGGAUCCUUCCCAGAAAAGUCUCUAUGAAGAGGUGAUGCUGGAGACCUACCAGAACAUCACUGCUAUAGGCUACAAUUUGGAAGACCAUCAUAUUGAAGAACAUAGUCAAAGUUCUAGAAGACAUGAAAGGCAUGAAAGAAUUCAUAUUGGAGAGAAACCGUAUGAACGUAACCAGUGUGGUAAAGCCUUUGCAAGUGACAAUCAUCUCCAAAUACAUAAAAGAACAAAUACUGGAGAGAAACCUUAUGAAUGUAAUCAAUGUGGUAAAGCCUUUUCACAACGCAGUAAUCUCCAAUAUCAUAUUAGAAGUCAUACUGGAGAGAAGCCCUAUAAAUGUAAUCAGUGUGGUAAAGCCUAUGGACAUCACAGUAGUCUCCAAUAUCAUAAAAGAACACAUACUGGAGAGAAACCUUAUCACUGUAAUCAAUGUGAUAAAGCAU
rnacentral:lncRNA from 1 species